AAUCAACGCUGGCGGCGUGCCUAACACAUGCAAGUCGAACGAGAAAGUGACUUCGGUCACUGGACAGUGGCGUCCGGGUGAGUAACACGUGGGUAAUCUACCUUCGGGUGGGAAUAACGUCUCGAAAGAGACGCUAAUACCGCAUAAUGCAGCGGCACCUUAUGGUGAAUAGUUGUUAAAGCGGGGGAGUCGCAAGACCUCGCGCCGUGAAGAGGAGGCCUGCGGCAGAUUAGCUAGUUGGUGAGGUAAUAGGCUCACCAAGG
rnacentral:rRNA from 1 species